CUUGUUGCUCUUGGGGGCUCCGGAGGGGUGAGUAAUACCUAGGAAUCUGCCUGAUAGUGGGGGAUAACGUUCGGAAACGGACGCUAAUACCGCAUACGUCCUACGGGAGAAAGCAGGGGACCUUCGGGCCUUGCGCUAUCAGAUGAGCCUAGGUCGGAUUAGCUAGUUGGUGAGGUAAUGGCUCACCAAGGCUACGAUCCGUAACUGGUCUGAGAGGAUGAUCAGUCACACUGGAACUGAGACACGGUCCAGACUCCUACGGGAGGCAGCAGUGGGGAAUAUUGGACAAUGGGCGAAAGCCUGAUCCAGCCAUGCCGCGUGUGUGAAGAAGGUCUUCGGAUUGUAAAGCACUUUAAGUUGGGAGGAAGGGCAUUAACCUAAUACGUUAGUGUUUUGACGUUACCGACAGAAUAAGCACCGGCUAACUCUGUGCCAGCAGCCGCGGUAAUACAGAGGGUGCAAGCGUUAAUCGGAAUUACUGGGCGUAAAGCGCGCGUAGGUGGUUUGUUAAGUUGAAUGUGAAAUCCCCGGGCUCAACCUGGGAACUGCAUCCAAAACUGGCAAGCUAGAGUAUGGUAGAGGGUAGUGGAAUUUCCUGUGUAGCGGUGAAAUGCGUAGAUAUAGGAAGGAACACCAGUGGCGAAGGCGACUACCUGGACUGAUACUGACACUGAGGUGCGAAAGCGUGGGGAGCAAACAGGAUUAGAUACCCUGGUAGUCCACGCCGUAAACGAUGUCAACUAGCCGUUGGGAGUCUUGAACUCUUAGUGGCGCAGCUAACGCAUUAAGUUGACCGCCUGGGGAGUACGGCCGCAAGGUUUAAACUCAA
rnacentral:rRNA from 1 species